GUAAGCUUGCCUUACAUAGUCAGUACAGGUGCUGCAUGGCUGUCGUCAGCUCGUGCCGUGAGGUGUCCGGUUAAGUCCGGUAACGAGCGCAACCCCUAUGUUUAGUUGCCAGCACGUAAGGUGGGAACUCUAAAGAGACUGCCGGCGACAAGCCGGAGGAAGGCGGGGACGACGUCAAGUCAUCAUGGCCCUUAUGCCUUGGGCUACACACAUGCUACAAUGGCGGAUACAAUGAGUUGCCAAACUGUGAAGUGGAGCCAAUCCCAUCAAAGUCCGUCUCAGUUCGGAUUGCAGGCUGCAACUCGCCUGCAUGAAGUUGGAAUCGCUAGUAAUCGUGGAUCAGCGCUGCCACGGUGAAUACGUUCCCGGGCCUUGCACACACCGCCCGUCACACCACGAAAGUCGGUUCUACCCGAAGUGGUUGAGCUAACCCGCAAGGGGGGCAGACUCCUAAGGUAGGGCUGGUGAUUGGGGUGAAGUCGUAACAAGGUAACCGU
rnacentral:rRNA from 1 species